rnacentral:lncRNA from 1 species
CAGAGAGAGAACCCUAUCCUUCUUGGACCUCCCAAGCAAGUUGCAGGAACCUGGGGAACAGGGCAGGGGCCUCAGCUCUCCCAGGUGAUGCAAGAGGGGGCAGAGGAUCAGAUCCCUACCCUCUUCUCAUGCCUUUUAAUUAGCUGGAAAUCAAACAAACUAACUGAAGAGUGGGAUAAUUUCAUUUCAUAUGUUGGGGGGUGCAAACCUGCCUGUAUUUCCCAAUUCUUUAGGACAUGUGUAAAAAUAACAGAUGUAACAGAAGGGGCCAUGGAUUGAACAUCCUGUGAAAAAAAGGUAAUUGUCUUGAUGAGAUUGCAGUUUAUAAAUAUAGCAACUCCAUCAUCUAAAAGGGAGUUUCUGUGCCAAAGCCUUAUAUGUUAGAAACAAACCUAUUUCAUCAUAAAUCAAAUAUUUCUCCAGGCAUCAUAUUUGUACAAACUGAACUUAUUUGCCAGUCACUAAAAUUAGUCUGCUGUUCUUUUGCACCUCAGGAGACCUUGGUUCUACUGUGCAUAAGUGGAAGAACUAAAAAUUCUGCCUGCAAUGUGGAUGGACACUUAUAUUUCUUAGUCUAAGUCAAGAGAUUUAGGUACAAGAAUUCCUAGCUGGUGUCAGACAACACUUAAUCUUCUGCUUAAUCCUCCAAGGCACCAUAAGCAUGGAGUGCUAUUUCACAGGAUGAAAUUAAUUUCCUUUUCUUAUGCCAAACCAAUCCUGCUUGUUUCAGUCAGAGCUCCUGGAGGCAAAGGGAUCAUGCCACAAGAGGACCACUGCGAGGAUUUCUCAGUUCUGGCCAUGCCCCAUGUUAUUACCACUUUUCUUUUCAGGAGCCAUCUCAUGCUGGCAUAUCCAUCUGUUUGUUGUGUUUCCUGUGUUCCUGCAAGGCAGUGCUUUGCUGGCCUUCUGACGGUGUCUGAGUGCAUUCACAGAUGAGAAGAAGGUGUGGAAAAAAAAUACCCUUUACCUGAAGCAGACCGAGAUUCCUGCAGUUGCAGGGCUGGCAGUCCACAGCUGGAUGAAUUUCCCCAUUCUCUUGUGCUGGAGGCACAAGCUGCAUUUUUGCAGGCUGUGGGAGCCAUGGGAUCGUGGGUCUCUGUAAACCUGCUGGGUUUCAAGCAGCAAUAAAGUCCACUUUGAGCCAUGUCUAUCCA